UAGCCUCGAUCCCAGGCCGAGUUUUCGCUUUUAUAACGGUUAGGCGAACAACUGGGCCUGGUACUAGUUGUCUGCGCAUGCGUCAGUCGUUCGUCAGAUUCUGACGAAUGGAUAUUCUCGUUCACUUUCGUGACAUUUAUAUUCGUGUACUAUCGUGUACUAGAAGUCAGUUCCCGUUUUAUCAUUAUUGGAAUCGAUUGGAAUCGAUUGGAAUGGCUCUUAGCUGAAGCUUCUCUCUUCUCUGAAGCUUAUUCUGAAGACUGAACAACAAGGGAAGAGGUAUAAAGCUUUGUCAAGCUUGUUAAGGAGCAAUGGCUAAUAUCCAGCUGUCCCAACAGUGCUCCUCUUGGCUAUACUAACGGACGAGACUGGACAGUUUGAGACACAGGACUGGAGUAUGAUCUGCUCAUUCGAGCGUUGCUGGGUAGCUCAGAGACAUCAAGAGAAUCUACGUUUUCUCAAGCAAUGAGUUACGAGUUGGGGCCUAGAAUCAGAGAAGUCCAGCAGCCUGCUAAAUCUUUUUGAAACGUAAUUUGAAGGCAUUCAAUCAUCCUGAAGUUGCCCUGGGUCACUGUAAUUGUGCUGCAGCACAACUGGCAACUCCCCAGGCCUUUGUGAAGCAGCUCCCUAUGUGCAUCUUUUGUGUACUCACUCUGUGCAUUUUCUGUGUACAAAUUUCGAUUAUUGAUUUAUUAAAUAUUUUUGCCGACCACAAA